ACUUCCUGAGCCGGAACGAAAAGUUUUAUCGGAAUGCGUGUUCUGGUGAACUUUUGGCUUACGGUUGUGAUGUUGUGUUGUUGUGUUUGCAAUUGGUCUGCGAUUCAGACCAUGGUAGCAAAGCUACCUUUUUUCACUUCCUGUACA
rnacentral:ncRNA from 111 species